AUCAUCUCCUAAGACCAUUUGCGGAUCGCACAAUCCCUCCUCACCUCUGGAGAUAGAUGGACACUUUUGUCUGUACGUGCGUGUCGUUGAUGGGAAUGGGAACACAGCGCUCACCUGUGGAGAGAGAGGCAGACCAGCUCACUGGGGGUUUGACCCCUGACCUUCAGUGGCCAGACCAUCCCUGACAGUGACAGGAGGGAAAUCUCUCGGGAAGCAGACGGCAGAAUGACAAACAGAAAGGAUGGAUCUAAUGAGGCUUCUCCGUUUCCUUCCACACACUCGCACGGAACGAGAACAAGGUAUGAUUGGUACCCAGUGCAGAGCCCUCUGCUGUGGUGAUAGAUGAGGAAAAUAAAC